GCAGGGUGCGGUGGCGUGUGCCUGUAGUCCCAGCUACUGGGGUGGCUGAGGCUGGAGGAUCUCUUGACCCCAGGAGAUCUGUGCUGUAGUGCACUAUGCCAAUCGGGUGUCCACACUAAGUUCGGCAUCAAUAUGGUGACCUCCUGGGAGCGGGAGACCACCAGGUUGCCUAAGGAGGGGUGAACCAGCUCAGGUCGGAAACGGAGCAGGUCAAAACUCCCAUGCUGGUCCGUAGUGGGAUCGCGCCUAUGAAUAGCCACUGCACUCCAACCUGGGCAACAGAGAGAGAGCCCCCCGUCUCU
rnacentral:SRP_RNA from 1 species